GACGAACGCUGGCGGCGUGCUUAACACAUGCAAGUCGAACGGAAAGGCCCUGCUUUUGUGGGGUGCUCGAGUGGCGAACGGGUGAGUAACACGUGAGUAACCUGCCCUUGACUUUGGGAUAACUUCAGGAAACUGGGGCUAAUACCGGAUAGGAGCUCCUGCUGCAUGGUGGGGGUUGGAAAGUUUCGGCGGUUGGGGAUGGACUCGCGGCUUAUCAGCUUGUUGGUGGGGUAGUGGCUGACCAAGGCUUUGACGGGUAGCCGGCCUGAGAGGGUGACCGGCCACAUUGGCCUUCAGAUGCGGCCCAGGCUCCUACGGGGGGCAGCAGUGGGGAAUAUUGCACAAUGGGCCGAGGCCUGAUGCAGCAACGCCGCGUGCGGGAUGACGGCCUUCGGGUUGUAAACCGCUUGCGCCUGUGCCGACGCGUGAGUGACGGUACUGGGUAAAAAGGCACCGGCUACCUACGU
rnacentral:rRNA from 1 species